CAUCAUGGACCCUAGGAUAAACUUGAAGAUGAAAAUAAGAUGAUCUGAGAUUGCUCCAAAAUUCGUGCGGUAGAUUUGAUCUCAGUCCGAUACUAUUCGAAAUUUAUAACAUUUGAUUCAUAUUAAGUCAUCCUGAUAGGACCUCUGAUGAUCUCGACCAUGAUUGCCUCAUCUGAAGGAUACGAAGAUUUCUCUCUCCAUUUUCUCUCUCUACUUUCUCUCUCUAAAAUUUUCUCUCUCUUCAUGGAUUUUCUCUCUCUAGAAGUCUUAUGGA
rnacentral:lncRNA from 1 species